rnacentral:lncRNA from 1 species
GCUAGAGCCUUCUUGAUGUUAAAUAGACGAACCUCUACAAGUUUAUGUAGUUUAAUUCAGUGUUGUGUACUGGGUUUAUGUUGUAAUAUAUUGAAACCUCGGUAGAUAUUUUUGGACUUUAGCCAAAUUGGUUAAAGUAUCCGAGAGAAAUAGUUGGACAAGUUCCAAUUAGUAUUCCAACAAGAUUGGAAGGAUUAAAAGUGAGUUUAAAAGAGUUAAAGAGGUUUUUGCAUUGAUCGGUGCGAAAUAGAAUGGAAAAAGAUGCAAAAUAUGAAAUCUGGGCAUUUUGUGCCGGUAC